GACGAACCGAGCGAGCGUUAUCCGGAUUUACUGGGCGUAAAGCGCGUUCAGGCGGUUUGGCAAGUCGGGCAUGAAAUCUCUCGGCUCAACCGGGAGAGGUUGUCCGAUACUGCUGGACUUGAGGGCAGUAGAGGGUGGUGGAAUUCCGGGUGUAGUGGUGAAAUGCGUAGAUAUCCGGAGGAACACCAGUGGCGAAAGCGGCCACCUGGACUGCACCUGACGCUGACACGCGAAAGCUAGGGGAGCGAACGGG
rnacentral:rRNA from 1 species